GAUGAACGCUGGCGGCGUGCCUAAUACAUGCAAGUCGAGCGAACAGAUAAGGAGCUUGCUCCUUUGACGUUCGCGGCGGACAGGUGAGUAACACGUGUGUAACCUACCUAUACGACUGGAAUAACUCCGGGAAACCGGGGCUCAUGCAGGAUAACAUGUUGAACCGCAUGGUUCUUCCGUGAAAGGCGGCUUUGCUGUCACUUAUAGCUUGACCCGCGCCGUAUUAGCUAGUUGGUGAGGUAACGGCUCACCAAGGCAACGAUACGUAGCCGACCUGAGAGGGUGAUCGGCCACACUGGAACGGAGACACGGUCCAGACUCCUACGGGAGGCAGCAGUAGGGAAUCGUCCGCAAUGGGCGGAAGCCUGACGGAGCAACGCCGCGUGAGGGAUGAAGAGCUUCGGAUCGUAAAACUCUGUUAUUAGGGAAGAACAAAUGCGUAAGUAACUGUGCGCGUCUUGACGGUACCUAAUCAGAAAGCCACGGCUAACUACGUG
rnacentral:rRNA from 1 species